GAUAAACGCUGGCGGCGUGCCUAAUACAUGCAAGUCGAGCGAACAGACGAGGAGCUUGCUCCUCUGAUGUUAGCGGCGGACGGGUGAGUAACACGUGGAUAACCUACCUAUAAGACUGGGAUAACUUCGGGAAACCGUAGCUAAUACCGGAUAACAUGUUGAACCGCAUGGUUCAACAGUGAAAGACGGUCUUGCUGUCACUUAUAGAUGGAUCCGCGCCGCAUUAGCUAGUUGGUAAGGUAACGGCUUACCAAGGCAACGAUGCGUAGCCGACCUGAGAGGGUGAUCGGCCACACUGGAACUGAGACACGGUCCAGACUCCUACGGGAGGCAGCAGUAGGGAAUCUUCCGCAAAGGGCGAAAGCCUGACGGAGCAACGCCGCGUGAGUGAAGAAGGUCUUCGGAUCGUAAAACUCUGUUAUUAGGGAAGAACAAAUGUGUAAGUAACUAUGCACGUCUUGACGGUACCUAAUCAGAAAGCCACGGCUAACUACGUG
rnacentral:rRNA from 1 species